rnacentral:rRNA from 1 species
UACGGAAGGCAGCAGUGGGGAAUAUUGCACAAUGGGCGAAAGUCUGAUGCAGCUAUGCCGCGUGUAUGAAGAAGGCCUUAGGGUUGUAAAGUACUUUCAUCGGGGAGGAAAAACAAAACUAAUAAUUUUAUUUCUUGACGUUACCCGAAAAAGAAGCACCGGCUAACUCCGUGCCAGCAGCCGCGGUAAUACGGAGGGUGCUAGCGUUAAUCAGAAUUACUGGGCGUAAAGAGCACGUAGGUGGUUUUUUAAGUCAGAUGUGAAAUCCCUGGGCUUAACCUAGGAACUGCAUUUUGAAACUGAAAUACUAGAGUAUCGUAGAGGGAGGUAGAAUUCUAGGUGUAGCGGUGAAAUGCGUAGAUAUCUGGAGGAAUACCUGUGGCGAAAGCGGCCUCCUAAACGAAUACUGACACUGAGGUGCGAAAGCGUGGGGAGCAAACAGGGAUUAGAUACCCGU